rnacentral:lncRNA from 1 species
CCACCACCACCGUCGCGGCAUCGCCAGCGCGCCCGCUCCCUCCUGCGUACGCCGCGUUCCAGGAGCGCCUGAGGUCGGGAACGCUCGGGCCCGACGACGCACGCCACCUGUUCGACGAAUCCCUACUGCGCCGCGACGACCCUGCCCCUGCCCCCGCCCCCGCGCGCGCCAUCAGCGACAUCCUCGCCGCGCUCGCCCGAGCGCCGCCUUCCGCCGCCUGCAGUGAUGGCCCCGCCCUGGCCGUCGAGCUGUUCAAACGGAUGGACCGAUGGGCAUGCCCCCAUGCGGCUGCUGAUGCUCCCACCAUCUACACCUACAACAUCCCUCAUCGACGUGCUACCUGCCGAAUGCACCGUCCAGAGCUAGCGCUUGCUGUCUUCGGCCGCUUGCUCAGGACGGGCCUGGGUCCGGAUGUGUGUUCGUACAACACGCUCAUCGACGGUUUCUCUAAGGAGGGCGAGGUGGACAAAGCUUACGAGUUGUUCUAUAAGAUGAUAGAACAGUCCGUUUCGCCUGAUGUGGUCACUUAUAACUCGCUGAUCGAUGGGCUCUGCAAGACAAAGGAAAUGGUGAAGUCUGAGCGUGUUCUGGAGCAGAUGGUUGAUGCCGGUAUUCGACCUAAUAACAAGACAUACAAUAGCCUGAUAUAUGGAUAUUCCACUGCGGGAAUGUGGAAGGAGUCGGUUAGAGUGUUCAAAGAAAUGUCAAGCUCCGGUCUCAUACCAUGUGUUGUUAAUUGCAACUCCUUCAUUCAUGCUCUCUGCAGGCACAAUAGAAUCAAAGAAGCAAAAGAUAUUUUUGAUUCAAUGGUUCUGAAGGGCCCCAAACCUAACAUUAUCUCCUACUCUACCCUGCUUCAUGGGUAUGCUGCUGAAGGUUGCUUUGCCAACAUGAAUAGCCUCGUUAAUUUGAUGGUAUCUAAAGGUAUUGUACCUAACCACCGUUUUUUCAACAUACUGAUUAAUGCAUAUGCUCGUUGUGGGAUGAUGGAUAAGGCUAUGCUUAUAUUUGAAGACAUGCAGAACAAAGGAAUGAUCCCUGACACUGUCACAUUUGCAACCGUGAUAUCUUCUCUUUGCAGAAUUGGCAGGUUGGAUGAUGCUCUGCACAAAUUCAACCACAUGGUUGAUAUUGGUGUACCACCGAGUGAGGCUGUUUACCGCUGUCUGAUCCAGGGUUGUUGUAAUCAUGGUGAGUUGGUAAAAGCCAAGGAAUUGAUUUCUGAAAUGAUGAACAAGGAUAUUCCUCCUCCUGGUGUCAAGUAUUUCAGUUCAAUAAUAAACAACCUGUUCAAAGAGGGAAGGGUAGCAGAAGGGAAAGAUAUCAUGGACUUGAUGGUACAAACGGGGCAAAGGCCUAAUGUUGUUACUUUUAAUUCAUUGAUGGAGGGAUAUUGCUUAGUUGGUAAUAUGGAGGAGGCAUUGCAUUACUUGAUGCUAUGGCAUCAAUUGGCAUUGAACCGAAUUGUUACAUAUAUGGUACGCUUGUUGAUGGCUAUUGUAAAAAUGGAAGGAUUGAUGAUGCAUUGACUGUAUUCAGAGACAUGUUGCACAAGGGAGUCAAGCCUACAAGUGUUUUAUAUAACAUCAUUCUCCAUGGGUUAUUUCAGGCCAGGAGGACAACUGCUGCAAAGAAAAUGUUCCAUGAGAUGAUUGAAAGUGGAACGACCGUGAGCAUUCAGACAUACGGUGUUGUGCUUGGUGGACUUUGUAGAAACAAUUGCACCGAUGAAGCAAAUAUGCUGUUGGAGAAAUUAUUUGCUAUGAAUGUAAAAUUUGAUAUCAUUACUUUCAAUAUUGUGAUUAGUGCAAUGCUCAAAGUUGGCAGAAGGCAAGAGGCUAAGGAAUUGUUUGCUGCUAUCUCAACUUAUGGGUUGGUGCCUACUGUACAUACCUACAACUUGAUGAUAUCAAAUCUUAUAAAAGAAGAGUCAUACGAAGAGGCUGACAAUCUCUUUAUAUCAGUGGAGAAGAGUGGCCGUGCUCCUGACUCUCGUCUUCUUAAUCAUAUCGUCAGGAUGUUACUCAAGAAAGCUGAGGUUGCCAAAGCUAGUAAUUAUCUGUCUAUAAUUGACGAGAAUAACCUCACUCUUGAAGCUUCAACUAUUUCUUUACUGGCUUCUCUCUUCUCAAGGGAAGGUAAAUGUCGGGAGCAUAUAAAAUUGCUCCCUGCAAAGUAUCAGUUUCUUUAGUUAGCUUGGCACUGCUAAUACAUUGUUGUAUCUGAAAUUACAUUAAACAUAUGGCACUCUUGAGUUUAUUGUGCUCCUACAGAAAGAACAAAACAUGCCUCAGAAAAGUCAGGUAUUGAUUCUUUUGUUAUUAUUGUUUUUGUAAGAGACGUUGUUGUCUAUGAUGCUAUAUUUGUGUUUUGAAAUUGUGACCAUGUGUAUUCUAUGUUUUUUUUUUUAAGAAAUAAGAAAGCUAGACAAUGGAGUGCAAAACAAAUGGUUGUAUUUCUAAACAUGAUAACGUGUAAUGGACAAGGUAGUCAGGUAUGUAUAGUAGAACCUAUCUGUAGAUAAUAAUUUUGAGUUCCUUUUGGUAAAAAUCUUGACCCCGGUAAUUUUGCAUACUCUUUAACAGCAGUAUUUUGACCAACUAUGGUAUUUAGCAUAUAUUCUUCCUGCUGCAAGGGAAGAAAUGGUCGAUCCCUUGUAGGAGUUCAGAGUUGAACCGUGUAUUACAGUUCUCUUUCAAAGCCUACAGGAUGAAAAUACACUUAGCAGCUCACGUUAUUCAUUCUUUAGCAAUAAUGCAAUUGGCCCCACAUAAAGUUCUGUGCAUUCUUAAUGAGCCUGAUGAACUGCUGAGAGAGCCAUGUUGCUGAAAUGGCACGAUUUGAUUCUUAUGACAUCUGUGAUAUAUGCUUGGAACUCCAUACCAGUUUUUGAGAUCUGUAAUUUUUUUAGCAGGCCACAAAGCAUCAUACUGGAGCUUUGCUCACUUCUGCUAUCCUCAUACUGGACCUUUUUUAGAAUGUGUUGUUUGUUGACAUGACAUGCCUUUUGUUUCUAUCGGAAUGACAGUAAUGAUGGCGUAGGAUUAAAUAGGUCAAUCGUUUAACUUGGCAUGCACCACAGAUGCUCCAGCUUGUGCGUUUCAUUACUGAACUGGAAAAUGCUCCUGGUGUGGUCCAGCAAUUGUAGAAGCACCAAAACAAUGCAGAAAAUAGUAAAACCAUAUAAUCAUUUAUGCCUUUUAGAUACUCAGAGGGAACCUUCUGAAACAUGCCUCUCCAGUCCUAAGGAGUUGUCAGGCUCAUCCAAUAAGAAUUUGCAACAGGUCAGAUUUUCUCUAGGAUUACUAAUCCAAUUCAUGUCCCCAUUGGUGGUUACUCUGUUCUUCUGGAACUACUACAUGUUGUAAUCUAGCGAUGGCCGUUUCGGUGCUUGGCUUCCCUCUCUGUAGCGUGUGUUUGGGCGGAUGGCACAUGGUUCGGGGCGUGUGCUCUGGUGCACAUCCUUCCUCGACAGCUAGCUAUCGAUGUAAAACUUUUCUUGUAACUUUUUCUUCCUAUCUUAAUUACAUUGAAUGACCUCCUUCGGUCAUUCCGGCAAAAUAUAUGUUGUAAUCUCACCAGUUGUUUCUAGAUACUGGACUAAUCUUUUCCUUUGUAAAAUUUUGUUUCCAUUUCACUCUUCGAUAUGAAUUCCAGCACAUACAGUACCCGUAACUAUUGAUGUUGUUUUAAUUGAUUCAUACACCAUAUCUGUAUUCCUUUUUGUUCUUCAGAUUUAUGAGAGUUCAUGCCAAACUUUGCUUUAUUCUUUCUUUCCAAUAGGACAGAUGAUGUUAUGGACUGAUUUGGAGAAAUAGCAAUAUAUUUGUUUGGGCGGCAGGUAGAGAGAAAAAGAUAGAAGAAGGAAGAACCCUGCAGAAGGGAGAAGAUACUCGGUAAAGCUUAUCUCUUGAUUUCCUAGUAUGCCAUUUGCAAUUUGUCUGUUGCUUCUCAUGCACCUGAUUUUCUGCCCUUCCAAUGACAGGUGAUGCAUGGUUCAUAGAGGUGAGAUGAGCACCCAACUAGGCAACUAUUGCAGUAUGAUUUCCUCUGCACCUUUAUUGACGAUAGCAUACACUGAAGCUUCAACCACUUUCUUUCUUCUGGACUCGAUUUUGUCAGUAUGAGCAGUAGAACUUGGUGCAUACAGAUCAGAUGGCUAUUCUUCUGUUGACGAGAACUCACUGCACUGAAGCUUCAACUACACUUUUGACAGUGUGCAGAAAAUACGAGCAACAGAGUGAGCUUUCAAGCUCAGACAAAGUGGACGAAGGGAUCAAACUAGUCACAUGGUGAGAAGAAUACUUUGCAUUUUUCCUUUCAAAUUAUAUAAAGGUUUGCAGCGAGCUAGUCACAAUUAUUGUUUCUUCUGCUCCUACAGAAAGAAAAUUAACUUGCCUAUAAAAAGUCAGGUAUCGAUUCUUUCGUUGUUAUUGCUUUUAUAAGAAACAUGCUGUUGUUGUUGGUGAUGUUAUGCUUUGUGUUUUGAAAUUGCGAGCAUGUGAAUUAUUCAGUGAACUUGUUUUUUAGAAUUAAGAAAGCUAGACAACGAAGUGCAAAACAAAUGGUUGUAUUUCUGCAAAUGAUAGCUUGUGAUGUUAAAGGUAGUCACAAAGGGAGAAACUGUCCAAAUUAUCUCAGGCCCUUAAAGCUGAACAAAUUUAUCAAACAUGUUCGACAAAAGAGAGAGACCCUGAGAUAUAUUUACAAUUCUUUUACUAUGAAUGGACAUAAACUUUGUCAUCUUUGACAAGCUGUUCUUCAACCUGUCACAGAUGAUCAUCUGUGAUGGGUUUUGAUCACAGAUGUGAGUCAUCUGUGAUGGGUUGAACUUACAACCCGGCAGUGAUGUGGUUUUACUCAAAAAAAAAAUUAAUUUGUUUUAUUGGCUAGCCUCAAGUAAUUGCUAGCCAUGCCCACUGCAAAAACAAAUAGAAUGGAUAUAUCCCUAGAAAAUAAGAAUGGAUACAUCCCACACAUCCACAUAUAUAGCUUCUCAUACAUUCCAAAUUAACAUGCUUAAUCGACUUUGUCUAGAAAACCAUUGGAUGGUAAGGUUCUCAAGCUGUUGUUCCCCAUUCUGGCAAUCACAAUUCAGAGACAACAUAAGGUGCUCUAGUUCAGGUAGAGAGAUACAAAGUCGAGCAUAUAUAGCCCCUAUUUGAAAUGAAUGCACACCCCUAGAUAAAGAAAAGCUGUAAUGUAGAGUGAACUCUGAGAUAACAAUGUGGACAAACCUUAGAUCCUUGAGUGAUGGGAAGGUGAGCCUAGCUCCUCUUGAAAAAGAAGAGAUUCAACCUAGCAGAAGCUCGGUGUUUCUUUAUUAAGAAGAAGAAAUAGGCACACAAAUUUGAGUUGAAGAGGACUCAAAAUUAAGUUGUUUGGAUGCACGAGGGCACCUAUCUGAGCUAGCUAGGCUAGGGACACUUCCUGCGUGUCCCCUCUUAAGAUACUGUAAUUGGUUAGGUGAAGUAGCUGGACGAGUGGAAGACAGAGCAUUGCCCUGGUAGCUCAUUGCGACAGUCGUAAAGCUAAGGACAAGCUCCUUGAGGUUCCCCAUGUUAAGAGAAUUGCAAUUGCGAAUCCAACACCAAAUCCGAGUCCGGCAAAAAGGAACAACACAAUGUCUAUUGACACCUUCUCUGAUUGAUGUAGAACCGUAUCUGAUGAUAUGUUGUUGCAUGCUUUGGACAGCUGAAGUCCACAGAGACCCAUGUUUCCUAGAAAUGAGAGAUUAGAGAAUGUCAAGAAGUGGGGAGACUCGGGUAUUCUUCCCUCCAACUUAUUGUAGGACAUAUUCAACGUCGAAAGGAAGUCCAGUGAUGCCAACUCUUGUGGAAUCUCUCCUGAAAGAUCAUUUGAAGAGAGGUCGAGCGACUCGAGUUGAUGUAGCAUGCCGAGCUGAGAUGGGAUCAGUCCAGUGAGGGCAUUAUGUGACAUGUUUACCCCACUAAGUAGAACUAGGUCCCCAAUAGACUGGGGAAUGGCACCAUAGAACGCAUUAUCCGAAACAUCAAUGACUACAAUUGUCCUCAAUAUCUUCGAAAAAGUAAUAUCAGACCCUUUGUAUGUGAUGGCAGUGGUGAUUUGGUAUGUUUGGCCAAGUAGAUCAUAUUGAUUUUCCAUGACCAGCGUCUCAUUGACUGUUUUAGUCAUCAUGGAUUUCAUUGUUCUAAACCAUUCAUUUUGUAAUAGUCCAGAGAAAUUGUUUGAAGCCAAGUCAAAAAUUCGAAGUUUUAUAAACUCACAACUAUUUUUAUCUCCAGGAACAGAAGGCCCCACAUUCCCGACAAACUUGUUGGAUUUCAGAACAAGGACUUGAAGUUUAGGAAGCAUACUCAUCCAACAUGGAAAUUUAUCAUCAAUACGAUUAUUUCUGAUAUCAAAAGCCUCCAAGUCUUUGCAAGCAACUAGGGAUCUGGGUAACAGUCCUUCAAUCCGAUUGUCACUAAAAUCUAAUGCCCCAAAUGCACAAUCUUGCUUUAGGCUAUUUGGCAAUCUUCCACCAAGUUGAUUUCCUUUCAAGUUUAAUACAUUCAGGUGGUCACUCAUAUCCUCCAUUAAACAAGAAGGGAUGGAGCCAAGAAAAUCAUUAUUGGAGAGAUCAAGGAGCAAAAGGCUUGUUGCUUCACAAAUCGAUGGUGGAAUUUCUCCGGACAGCUUGUUGCUGGAAGCCAUGAGAAGGGAAAUACUGCUUAAAUUAGAACCAAAAUUGGAUGGCAUGGAUGAAAAUCGAUUGUUCGAGCAAUCAAACAGUUGGGUCUGUGGUCCUGGUACAGGUAUGUGACCUUCAAAUAGGUUAUAACUGAUAUCAAUAACAAACAUACCAUCUGAAAUGACAGAGCCAUAUCCUAUACUACCACUGAAUUGGUUGUGUGACAAGUUCAUCAGGAUGAGCGAGUUGAUCCAAUUAUCCCAUGCCCACUGAGGUAUAGUGCCAUGGAUGUGGUUGCUUGAAAGGUCAAGAACUUGAACCGAUUGCAUGUGCCUCAAGGUAUGGGGGAGCUUGGAUAUGUUACAAGAUGCUAGACAUAGAGUGUCAAAAUUAUCGAUGGAUUCCCAUGAAGAAUUAUGUUCCCCGACUUGUACAGAAAGUUCGUUGUUUGAAAGAUUCAGUAUUGAUAGAUUGGGCAAUUUGAAGAAUGAGCUGAGUUCGAUUGUGCCAAUGAAACCAUUGGAAUGAAGGUUUAUGACUUCCAAAUUAGUUAGAUUAAAAAGAUGUGGAGGUACCUGACCAGAAAAAUUGCAUGCAUACAAUUUUAAGGUACUUAGGUUCUUGAGAUUGCCUAUGAAGGAAGGCAGUUGACCAGAUAAGCCACAGUUGGAGAAUUGCAGAGUUUCCAAAGAAGUCAAAUUCGCAACCCAAGAAGGCAUUUCUCCUACUAUGCCAGACCCAGAAAGCUGUAACGAUGUUAAGGACCUGAGCUCACCAAUUGAAGAGGGAAGCUCUUCUUGGUGACUGUCACCAGCUGCUGCAACACCCAAAUUCUUCAAGGACUUGAGAUUGCUUACAGAACUCGGGAUGGGACCAGACAGGUUAGUGUUGCUACAGAGCAGCUCAGUCAGAGCACUACCCGAUGAGAAAUCGGGCAGCACACCGGACAGUCUGAAAUUAUAGCUGAUAUCAACGACCCUCAAGUUCUUGCUUCCAAAUAUCCUCAUCGGGAAUGGCCCUUCGAGGAGAUUGUAGGCGAGCCUAAGAACACGGAGGGAAGGCAGAUCAGCCAAGGAAUCCGGAAUUCUGCCAUGCAAUUUGUUGAACUUCAGGUUGAUCUCGACCAAGGAGCGAAUGGCGGACAGCGAUCCGCAGAUCGGAGCAUCGAGGUGGGUGUUCCUCAGCCUGAGAACCUCGAGCCGAGGAGUGGAGCUAGCGAAGCCAUCGCACCAUGCCGCGCCAUUGCCGGACAGGUCAACAUUGCCCAGAUCGAGCGCUCUCAGGUUGCUGAGGUUGGCGAGCAGCGAUCCGAUGUCUGGCUCGACGACGGGCCACCGCCCUGCGCCGAGCGGGAGGGAAUAAUCGUUGUCUGCUUCAAUGAGAUAGAUCCAGUUUGACAGGUCGAGAGACGCCAAUCUGCUGAGCCGCGGUAUCCCGCGUGGUAUGUUUCCUGUGAAGUCGGAGUAGGAGAGGUUGAGGUGGGUGAGCUCGGUGAGCCGCUCGAACCCAGUGGCCGGGAGCUCGGAGUCGUUAGCGUUGAGGCUGUUCUCCGAGAGGUCCAGGUACCUGAGGGGAAAAAGAAUUUAAGAGUAUAUUUUCGUAAUUUUCCCACAAACAUGUAUAUAAAUAUAGCAUGUGUUUGGUUGGGAGGAUAUCCCGGGAUGGGAUGUGAUCAUCCCAUUUUUGCAUCUGUUUGGUUAAGAGACUAGGAGGGAUAGGAUGGCUCCAAAAGAGAAUAUCCCUUCAAUAUUUGGGACAGGCUCAUCCGGAAAAAAAGUGGCGGACGAAACGAUCCCACCUCCGCACAAGUGACUCAUGCCUCACACGCAGUAAGACAAAAGCGCCUCACCUCUUUUUUUUCCCCUUUGUUCUUAUCUCCUCUCAGUCUGAUCUAGGGUUAGCUACAGGAGACACGGGGUGGCGGCGGCGCGAGCGUGGGCGGGCGAGUUGGCGCGCGGGGAUGAGGCGGCGGCGGUAGAAGGGUUGAGCCGGCACGCAAGCAGGGCACGAGCAGGGGUGGUGGUGCCUCCUCUCUUGCCGGUAGCUGCUCACCCUCAUCUCCUCCAUUCGUAACCACCGACUGCAGAUCAGGGUUCCCAUUCUCCAUGGUAAAAAUACCCUAAACAUUGCAUGAGGAUUUCGUUUUUAGAUCUUUGCAUAUCUGUUUUUCUCGAGAAUGUGUGAAAACUGUUAGAUGGUUUAUUUGACACCUUGAAAAGCUUGCCUUCCUGGGUUUGAGGAGAUCCACAUAUCUGUUUACUAUGCUCAUUUGGUUACCAACCCUCACAUUGCUAGAGCUUUUGAUAGACUUCCAUUUGAAAACAAGAUACAUUGGGUUGCUAUGUUCAUUAAUGUCAAGUUUCCUGGAUCAAUGUAGCUUUGUUGAAUGAGUUGGAUAGUUCUUUUGGUAUUAUGUGUUGCCGGUUGGCCUAUGUUAAUGUAUGACUUAUACUGCCAAUAUUUUUAAGGCAGUGAUCUCUCUAGUAGGUGCAAUACUUAAAUUUGCUAUUACGUGUAAGACUUAAUUUACUAUUAUGUGUAUGACUUGAACUUCUUAUUAUGUUUGGCUUGGACUCUAUAUGUAUGGGUUGAAAUUUUGACUGUGCACUAAUUAUGCAUGAUUGUAACUGCCGGUACUGUUUAUCAUUUGGUGGCUUGUCCAAUAUGUUGAAAUCCCAAAGCCUCCACUGAUCUUGGCUGCAGUGAACGAGUGCUCAGGCCUAGGGCUGUAGAAAUGAAGCUGCUAGAGCAUAUUAUGCGUGUGAUUUGUAUUUUAUUUUCAAAUAUAGUAUAUGAAUGGUAUUUUAUUUUUAAAUAGUAUGAUUAUCAUGUAGAAAUAUUAUUUUGUAGUUUGUAGACUAUAAGAGGUAACCUCAUCAACUAAGGUGCGAGGUAAUUGUAUCCAGACAACUCAUCUUGAUUGCUUCAUCCAAAUAAAAUAUAGGAUCAUUUCAACCCAUUAUAUUCCUUAAAAAAAACAGAAUCAUACCAUUCAAAAAAAACAAGGAUGAUCCAACCCAUCACAUCAUAUCCCCAAACCAAACACAUGUAUAUAUAUUUUUAAUAUUAAUAUAUAUAUUCUCAUAUUACUUUCUUACCCGAAGGAAUUAAGAAUAUAUUUUCGUAAUUUCCCCACAAACAUGUAUAUAAAUACAAAUUCUAAAAAAAACAUACAUAUAUAUUGUCAAAUUCUUUUCAUACCUGAGGGAGGUGAGUUCGAAGAGAGCGGGGUGGAGGCCGGCGGCGCUGAUCUCCAGCCAGCAUCCGCCGAGGUCGAGGGUGGUGACACGGCCGCCGCCGCCGCCGGUGCCGGUGCCGGUGCUGCAGGCGACGCCCUCCCAGUCGCAGCAGUCGGUGCCGGGGCGCCACGACGCGAGGGUGCACGCGGAAUCGUUGGUGGGGGAGAAGGAGCGCCUCCUCAGCCGGAGCAGCGCCGAGGCCUGGUCGGGCUGGCAGUACGGGACCUUCGCCGUUUGGUUGCUGCUGCUGCUGCUGUAGGUGCUGAGGGAGCAGGAGUGUUGGAUGAUCGCAAGCAGGAGGAGCAGGUGAACAGCGAGCGUGGACAGCAGGAGCCGGCUGCAGGUACGGGAGAUCAUCGUUGUUGAGACGUCAAUUCUCUUGGGUCUUGGCGUUCCCCACGCAAAGGACCUCGAUCGUACGUAUAUAUUCACACGCAAAAGGCUAUGUUGCUGGCUAUUACUCGUUCUUUGGAAAGAACGAGUAAUUUUACACUGUUUAUGUUUAACGUUUGACCGUUUGUUUUAUUUGAAAAUUUUGUAUGAUUAGUAUUUUUAUUGUUAUUAGAUGAUAAAACGUGAAUAUUACUUUACGUGUGACUAAUUUUUUAAAAAUUUUCAUCAAUUUUCUAGAUAAGACGAACGGUCAAACGUUGUAUAUGGAUACCCACGAAUGCAUUUAUUUUUUAGACGGAGGUAGUAUGUGCUCUCGUCCUAAAAUUUAAUUACUACUUUCGUCCCAGAAUAUAAUAAUUAACUGGAAAGAUAUUAUAAUUGGUUGAAAAAUAAAGGUAUGUUGAGAUAUUGAAUGGUGAAGAGUUGUAAUUGGUUGGUAAAACAAAGUUGAUAGAUGAGUUGUUAUAUUUUAUGAUGGAGGAAAUAUUUUUUAAGGUGGAUAUGGAUAUGGGAGUACCUAUGCAUCUUUCGAAAGAUUUUUAUAAUCAUAUCUCACAGAUUUUUAAUCUUUGGAUUAAAAUUUAAUAGACACAUUAAAAGGCAAAAAGCAACUAAAAACACCAUAAUAGACACUACAUUACCAUAUCUUCAAGAAAAAGACCAAAUCCAAUAUAAAUUUUAAAACUUACAUGUGAAGAUUCAAAAAUUACACAGUAAUUUACAAAAGUUACAUUGUAAGUUUCAUAAAUUACACUGUAACUUAUAAGAAAAUAUACUGUAAAUUUGAGUGAGAAAAUCGAGUGAGAGAUAAGAAAAAAUCUUUCAAGUGAGAUAUAGCAAAAUCAUAUGGAUAUUAUGGAAAUAGGUAAAAAUGAUUAAAGUAAGGUUGUGAUUGGUUAAUAAGAGAAUAGAGAUAUCAAAUAGAGAAUGAUUGUGAUCGGUCGAAUGAAAUAGGUAAAGAAAUAACUUUAUUUCAGAACCAGAAAAUAUUCGAAGUGAAGAUCUUUACCAUAAUACUAUUAUACGUGGGUCUCAUCCUAUAUUGUUUCAUACGUCAAUGUCGGGUGCGUAGAGGCUAUGAUCCCAUAUCGGUCGUCACGGACGCACUUGUCCGAUGAAGCUUUCAAAAACGAAAAAGACGUGCACGUACACCCUGCAUACACGUUAAUGAAUCUUUUACUACUGGCUUUGUGCGGCGUGCAACUGGCGGUAAAUUAAUUUAGGGAGUGUUUGAGGAGAAGGGGAUUGAGGAGAUUGGGAAGAUACGCAAAACGAGGUGAGUCAUUAGCUCAUGAUUAAUUGAGUAUUAACUAUUUUAAAUUUUAAAAAUGGAUUGAUUUUUUAAAGCAACUUUCCUAUAGAAAUUUUUUUUAUAAAAAACGCACCGUUUAGUAGUUUAAAAAGCGUGCGCGUGGAAAACGAGAGCCAAUCUCUCCUGUCAUCCCUAAACGAACAAUGCACAUUAAUGGUGACCAACAGAGUCCUGAUGCAGCCGGCCGGCAGGUCCCCAUCGCGGUUGGUUUGGUAUCACGACUCUGGUACUGGGUCAUGCUUGACUAUAGAUUUUUUUAUAAAGGCUUGACUAUACAUGGUGUUGUAAUUUCUCUGUUUUAAACAGAUAUAUGAAAUACAGUUAUAUUUAAGCGGUUCAUAUAACACGUCACACUCACCCUAUAAGAAUUACACAUAUACCUUGUAUAAAUACCUCUGAAGAGUAAGACUAUACUCGACCAUACUCAGCCUAUGACUUGAAUUCGGUUGGACGGAUUGCUGGAUUCUAUCACCAGGGAAAAAAAAUCUAACUGGUUAAGCUAUACUUACUUUGCAAACGAUUACUUUGAUCGUGUUUGAAUCUUUUUAAGAUGGAAGAUUAAGUGUAAGCAUGCAAAACGAGAAAUCAUUACCGCAUGAUUAGUUGAGUUUUCAUUCCUUCAAACUUGAUAAAAUGGUUUAUUUGAUGUUUUAAAGCAACUUCUAUAUAGAAAGUUUUUACAUAAAAUACACCAUUUAGCACUUAUAAUCUAUAUUAAUUUUAAGUGCUUGUCCAGAUGAAUUUUUAUGAUUAGAUUUUUUCUUUUAACGGGGGAAAAUUGUAGAAAGCUAGCUUGUGAUUCACUCAUGGCCGCGUCACUACGCAUUGCAGGCACAAUUAAUUUUGGUCAGGCUUAUCUGCGCGUGCCUGGAAAAUAUGGUGACGGCGACACUACGUGUUCGCUCUCACCCCCGCUCAAUAAUUCAACAGUAAGGCCUGGAACCAGUUCCUAAAUUUUUUUUUAAAACUUUCAAACUUUUCUAUUACAUUAAAACUUUCAUACACAUAAACUUAUUAACAUUUUCAUCACAUCGUUUCAAUUUCAAUUAAACUUCUAAUUUUAACGUGAACUAAACACACAAGUAAACCAGAAGAGUAGCAGCAGCUAGCUGUACGUCUUGAUCGUGAACAUUUCUGCUCGGCUUUUGGGCUGAGUUCUUAUCUCUACUUUGCUAACUCACCUCCCUCAUUUUUCACACGUACGAUUUUCAAACUGCUAAACGGUCCGGUUUUACAAAAAUUUUCUAUAUGAAAGUUACUUUAAAAAAUUUUAUUAAUCUAUUUUUAAAAUAUAUUUUAGCUAAUACUUAAUUAAUCAUGCACUAAAUGCUAAACGCUGCUUCGUUUUAUGUGGUGUGUUCGGAACACACCCUUGAUGUGUUCGGCGCCUCCUUUUCCCAAUUUCUCUCCCUUGUUUUUCACGCGCACGUUUUUCAAAUUGCUAAACGGUGUGUUUUUUUAUAAAAAGUUUCUAUACGAAAGUUGCUUAAAAAUCAAAUUAAUCUAUUUUUUGAAAGAAAAAUUAGCUAAUACUUAAUUAAUCACGCGCUAAUGGACCGCUCCGUUUUCCGCGUGUACUAGGAACAUGUACCAGCGAACACACCCAGCUCACCUUAGCACGCAGAUGUUCACACGAUUCCUGAUUUGCCUCCAAUGAUAUAAUAGUGGCAGCAAAAGCCACCUGCUACUGGCCCUGACGUGUCCUGGCCCCUCGCCACGCGUCUCCUUGCGGGCAAUUCUUUUUUUUAAACAACUCACACAAGAUAGUGCGAAAUUUCGUAUUAAUAUAGCAAGAAAAGUACAAGAUUACAACCCUGUAAAUUGUAACUAGGAAAAGAAAAAACAACCAUACCACCACCAUACCACCACCGUACAAGUUAGCAGCUCCUCGCACAACCAAGAGAAGUUGUUAUACCACUUCUGUGUAUAAAAAAAUACACGAGGUGCUGAACCGAUGCCACUAAGCGUGACCGAACACCGCUAGACCUACAAAAGGGUUGCAAACGCCCCGCCAAACACCAACUCCACACAGAAGAAUAUCGGCGAGUUUCUGAUUGUCUUCACGUAGAGGGGUUGAGUUGAAGGAGAUGGCGAGAGAGAAGGAGAUCCACUUGUCCCUCGCUCCAACCUGAUGACGACCACCAAGAAACUCCGAUGAUCAAACCGAGAGAAGAUGGUAAUGGUGAGGAACAAAAGAUCUCCUAGACGAUGCCUCCAAGAAGGUCAUGACGCUAGAGGCGUCAACAUGGCCCGUCCACUAGACUUGGUUUUCACCUGGAGAAUCUUGUCAAGAGAGGGAAAGGUGGCUGCUCGACAACGCCCCAAAGGGAGGUUAUGGCGCCCGAAGGUGUCAUCGAUGCCGGCUUGGGAGAUCUCGGGCUAGGCUUUCACCUGCAGCACCCUUGCCCAAACCUAUCAACCCAACCCCAAAGCUCCACCGUCAAGUCAACCCCUGCCAACCCAUGGCCCCGUCGCACCAACGCCCCACCGCCGGCCAGCCCACGUCCGCCUUCGUUGGGCCCCCAUAGCGGCCAAAGAUCUCUGCACCGGCCACCGGCUCGCUCACCGUCAGUGCUGCUGGCCACCGCCAGCAGCUCUCCUGCCAUCGACACCUUAGCCAACAACCUUCACAAGCCCGCCUACUGUAGCCGAGCGCGCCGGCCUCCAUGCUAUCGCCAACCACCGCCCGUGCUGUCCUCCUGCCAUCGCCGACUGCGUCAGCCUACUUGACAUCGCCCGCGCUGAUCUCCUGUCAUUGCCAGUCGCAUCCCCGUGCUAUCAUGGCCUCUUCGCCCCAACCUCUCCGACAGGACGCACGACGCCUGCCUUGCCGCCGGCCAUGCUACCUCGCCCCCGGCCAUCCGCCGCCACCUUCUCUCCGAGCUGCAAUCCCACGCCUAGAGUUUGGCCAGAUCCGAGCAUGGGAGGGUUGGAACCAUGUGUAAAGGUGCCGGAUCCGCUGCCCCCUUGCCAGAGUUCAUCCCCGUCGCCUCUAGCCGCCAUGGUUACCAUCGCUGUGCAUUGCGGCGCUCUUCCCGUGCCAAGAGAGGGUUUCGCUGGAGAAGUGGCCCCGCUGCCACCUUCCCGGCUCGCCGUCGGCUUUUUUGCUAGUGAGCUUUGGCGGCGGCGAGGUAGAGGAGGGGUGAGGGGGACAGCUAGGGUUUUGCCCCCGAGCCGCCCACGCGCAGACGACGCGGAGGAAGGUGUCGUUUUCCUUCGGAGGAAUUGUCUUCCACCAGGUUUACUUUUUCGGUUUUAACUGGAAACCACUGCUCACAUGUUUAAAAAACCGACGACUUUAUAUCAAUGCCAUAUAAAAAAAACCGGUUAAUACUGAUUAGUUUUUACAAAGGGAUAAGUCCAUUUUACACCCCCGAGUUCUUCUGUUUGUCUAAAAUACACCAUCGAACUACAAAACUGGGUAUAAUACACCCCCCUAACUAUUAAUACCGGGUAUUUGAUCCCCUCAAGCUGUUUUACUGCGGUUUUGCUACACGCGGACGUAUCUUAGGAUGCCACCUGUCAAAUAAAUCCACAUCAUCUUCUUCUUCCUCCUCUCUUCCUCUCCUCCUUCUCUCUUGUCCCCACACUCUUGCCCCCACAUAGUGUGGCCGGCGAUGAGCUCUUUCUUUCCUUUCUCUCCUCCCCGAGUGACCGGUGAUGAGUUUGAGGUCCCCCUCUAAUGCCGCACCCCCAAGCGCCGGUGAGCAUGAUCUCCCCCUCCGUGUCGCCCUUCCAAGAACUGGUGAGUUCUAGAUCCCCUCCUUCCCCUUUCCCCCAGCUACUCCUCUGUAGCCACACCCCCGAGCACCGAUGAAUUCGUUGCCGGCGAGCACGAGUUCAAGAUCCAACAUCCUCCCUCCCUUCCUCGAGCUGCUUGGGGACUCUGAGUUCAGCAAAGGUGACGGGGCUUAGGGAUGAGGAGGCGGAUGCGGAGCUUCAGCUGGACCUUGCCCUUGACUAGGCGGUGAUGCCCUGUCAGAUGCCGCGCCGCUGCUCGUCACAGCUUCUCCCGUGCUGCCUGUCAUGUUAUAAAAGUUAGUCGAUAUAACGGAACAACGACUAACCUUCCCGAUCGCUUCAGUCGUUGAUCACCCAAGACAUGCCAGAUGACGACACAAGAACACACGAUAUUUGUUAACGAGGUUCGGCCGAAGCCUACAUCCCCGGGGCUCUGAUUAUGGGCGCUCCUCCCCAACCAACAUAGGACCUAGCCGCUACGAGUCUAUGGCCACGCCGCCAUCGUCUUCCUGCGUGUCUACGCUAUAUUGUAGUCGAUGUAGUUACAUUGUGGUGCCCUCCUCUCUAUUUAAGAGAGAUGCCGGGUUACAGAGUUCGACUCUAACUCCACCCCCUAACACCUAUUAUAACUCCAAGUCCAACUGUAACUAAAUAGGACUAGUAUAUUUGACACAUAUUCUAACAAACUCCACCUUGGCGAAUAUACGCCACCCAGAAGUAGUAGAAUCACCAUGCCGAUCCACCUGUCCUCCAGACUUGGGCUGUCUUCUCUGCAGCUUCACCGCAAGCCGCCCAACGAGUCUACGCCAGACCCACCGUCUUCAAGAGACUCUGCUAUCCACGUAAUUUCUUCCUUUUGAUUCCACCUGCAACAGUGCUCCACCUUCUCACCUAUCAUCUCAGUCAUCUUGCCAAGCGAAAUUGGAUUUCUUCCUAGCUGUCACAUCAUAGACUCCCCGAAGACCAUGUUCACCUCCAUCUUCCAUCUUAAAUUUGACUUGAUCUAAUCCAUGGCCAGAUAACCUGCGUCAUCACCAAAUAGAUAAAUCAAACUCACCAGACUUGAAGAGAACCAUUUCUUCCUUGUUGUCUUAUGAACUGAGCUAAUAAAUCCAACAUCCUCGCUUUCCCGCAUCCGUAGACUGAACCUAUGAUACUUUCAGAAAAUUCACCGUUGCCUUGAAUCACUUGAAGAAAUUAACACCAUAGCGCUUGCUCUUCCUCUUCAGUGACGCAGAUUUCAUAUAUCCCCAUCAUGCCAACCUGCAUAUUUUGGAUAUAUCAUGUACUACCAAACAGUAUCGUCGACCCCAUCAACGAUAUUUGACCCGCUGUUGCCCGGAAUCUUUUCUUCAGUUCUGGACUAACUCCAUAUAUCUCAACUCCUCAUCAAGUCCCAGAUAUAUCAUGUUUCCACCGAAUAAUUCCAUAUGCAACCUGACUAGCCUGUUGCCGCCAGUCUACUCGCCCUUUGCACUUGCAAACUAUCCAUCUGUAGAACCUUCUUGUCCUUCUUUUGGAUCCGUUAACAAGUUCCUGCAAUGAACCACACGUCAGUUAAACCCGGUCUAACCGUCCAAACUCCGCAAUCUAACCAGUCCGUCGGUCUGACCACCCUGCCGGUCCAGUUUAACCGUUAUACAUGCACACCUCGUGCACCUUCUCCCGAGCCGUAUACUCACCGCAUCACCUUGAUCACCACAAAGCUGCACCAUGCCUCCCGUCUGGUGCCCGUGAGCCACGCCGCCAAACCAACGCUUUGCACCAAUCAUCAAGUUCUGGACUCCAGGUAAAUAUGAUCUCCUAUCCAUGCCAACGCAACCGAGUUAGCUCAUGCCAUCUCGUCCAUUGCAUGGAUAUAUCAAUUCUCCCCUGAUGAAGUCCGUUGCUUGCUUUGAUCUCCAUGCAUUGCUCAAUGGCCUGUGACACCACUGCACAAAUACUGCAUCUUGCUUGCUUUCCACGUGACCAUCCCUUAAUUAGUAGUGCCACACCUUGUGCUGUGCAUCCAAUCCUGGGCCUGUUGACCAUCAUGCAUACACAUACACAGGUAUGCAAUUAAUCUACCACGUGUCCAUAUUGUCCAUGCAUUAGCUUAAUUAUUGCACUUCCAAUUCCUUACUGCUUGCAGCUAAGUAAAUUGCUCGUCUUCUAGUAUCAACCGGAGUCAAACCCCUCGACCAGAUUGUCACACGUCGGACCUGCUUGCAAGUCGCUGCCUCCCUCGUGAAAACUGAAAACCACUGCUCUCUCCAGAUCACAAAACCGCGCCACUGAUCACAACUGUGGGCCGGGCUGGACGGUCAUGGAGAUGCUGUCCUCGCCGGCCGGAGACCGCCACCACCUCAAGUGCCGCGGCGGCCGGUGGCCUCUUCACCUGGAAGCCUAAGACUUCAGCAUGUCACCACUGCCUCUGAUCUGUCGAACCCGGGCCUUUGUACAUCUCUUUGUGCUGAGAUUAUAUGCGAUCUCUUGCUUGAGUCCUUGCCAGUAUUGCUUUGUUGAAUUUCUUCGGUCUUGAUCCUCACAUACGACAAGGUGCCCCGUGGUUGCAUCGGACUCGGUCAGUGCUUGUAGAGUUAGACAGUACAGGUCCAGACCGUCACCGACUCACCAACUCCUCCUUGCCCCCACAUUAUUGAAUCCAUCUCCGAAUCAACCUCAACAGCCAAGGCGUCGCCUCCCUGCUUCAUCGCUCAAUCUCUACACCUGUACACCGCCCGCAUCGGUUCUGCUCUCCAAAUUGACACCGUGUGCCUAUGUGCGUGUAUAGCACGUACUCCAUACGCGCUGUCCGUGCCUUUGCACGCACCGCAGUCGCAGCCCUCAUGUUCACCGUCCACGACCCCGUCGUCACGGCCCUGCACGUCCGCCGAGCCGCGCCGCGCCACGCUCGCCGGUUUCGCCCUUCCGUCAGUGGCCUCCCUGCCGCCGCGGAUCCGCGUUCGCCGCGUGCGUCGGCGCGCCGUCCAUGGCGCUACCCCUCCGAUCUCUCCGAACGCCUUCGCCACGCCCGGCUUCGUCUUCCGGUCACGCUCUACCAUUGUCGGUCCGAUCGCGAGUGAGGUCGUCGCCUCCGCAACGUCCUCGUUGUCGCCAUCGAUCUCAUCGCCACGACUGACGAUCUCUUGUCAAUGCGCGAUCCUACCUCGUGUUUCCUUCUCCACAUGUCUUCUUGAUCCAAUGCUGAAACCUUCUGCUCUGAUACCACUUGUUAUAAAAGUCAGUCGAUAUAGCGGAACAACGACUAACCUUCCCGAUCACUUCAGUCGUUGAUCACCCAAGACAUGCCAGAUGACGAUACAAGAACACACGAUAUUUGUUAACGAGGUUCGGCCGAAGCCUACAUCCCCGGAGCUCUGAUUAUGGACGCUCCUCCCCAACCAACAUAGCGCCUAGCCGCUACUAGUCUAUGGCCACGCCGCCAUCGUCUCCCUGCGUGUCUACGCUACAUUGUAGUCGCUGUAGUUACAUUGUGGUGCCCCCCUCUCUAUUUAAGAGAGAUGCCGGGUUACAGAGUUCGACUCUAACUCCACCCCCUAACUCUCUAUUUAAGAGAGAUGCCGGGUACUCCACCCCCUAACACCUAUUACAACUCCAAGUCCAACUGUAACUAAAUAAGACUGUAUAUUCAACACCUAUUCUAACAUGCUUCUCCCGCGCUGCUGCAUGCACCUCUCCAUGGAUGGGCUUGCGGGGAGUGGAGGGAAGGAGUAGGGGUGGAUGCCAAGCCAGCUCGGCUCGACUUGCUCUAGCUCGUUUAGUUAACGAGCUGGCUCGGCUCGGCUCGUUAUCUAAACGAGCAGAAAACGCAGCUCGGCUCGGUCAGUAGCUCGAGCUAGCUCGUUUCGGCUCGCGAGCUGGAGAGGGCAAGAUAUCAGACAUGUUGCCCUCUCCAGCUAGGACAAUGGAACGUGAGCCGACGAGCGGCCUGCAGCGGCGAGGACGAGCACGACGGUUGACGGCGAGGCAGACAGGCAGCCCGCAGCGGCGAGUUCGAGUGCGAUGACCGACGACACAAAAAUCUGCGGUGGCGAGGUGACAGCGCACGUGACGGCCAAGCUGGGGCGACGCCGCGACGCCGCGACGAACGACGGUGCUGCAGCCCUCAGCGCAGACUGGUAGAUGGUCGCGACAGGGAGGUGGCGACGGCGCAAGCACUAGAGACGGGGAACGGGAAGGAAGGGGCGGCGCGGCGUGGCUGCGAGGUGCGUGCUGGGCGAUGAGCGGCAGACUGGCGGCGGAUAGGCAGAGUGAAAAGGAGAGAUCGAGACUCUCGAGAGGCAGGUAGGGUUUGUGGUAUAGUAGUAGUACUUUACAUGCUCUGAUGGGCCACGUGGUCUUGUGUGGGCUUUGUGGCCUCGUGGCCUUGUGGGCUUGUGGACUGGGAUUGCUGUUGCCUGCUGGGUUGUCAAAGCUCAUUACGGCUCGCGAGCAGCUCGAGCUGGCUCGUUAUCUCUAACGAGCUAAAAGGCUAGCUCGGCUCGUUAGGAAAAUAAAACGAGUCGAGCCGAGCUUGUCGCGAGUCGAGCGAGCUAACGAGCUACGAGUUUUUCGUCCACCCCUAAGAAGGAGGAUGCCGGGGGCAGAGGGAGGGAGCACGCCGGCUACCUCCGGCCUUCCGCUCCUCGUUUUCCUCGUUGCCAGUUCGCCACUCCCUCCUUGCUCAGUUGCCCAUCUCCACACGGGACUGGUGAGGUGCAUGCCGACGUUGCUUUGACUUGGUGAGACCAUGCUGACGUGGUGUCCAUAUAAAUCAAAACCAGUCUUUAAAACCGCUCCAGGGGAUAAAAUGUUCAGUAUUAAUAGUUAGGGGGUGUAUUAUACCCGGUUUUGUAGUUCGAGGGUGUAUUUUAUAUAAACAUAUAUAAAAGUUUGGGGGUGUACAAUAGACUUAUCCCUUUUUAAAACAAAUAAAGAUCUAGCCAUUUCACGAGAACUGGUGAUCAAUUUUGCGAAUCCUGUUUUUCACAGCCCGGAGGUAUCAAAGGGGUGCCACUAAUUUAUAGCACUAACUUGUAAAGUGUCAAGCUUUGUUUGGGUGUGUAGCUGAUUGGAUAAGCAACUCGUUGACACAGAAAACACUGUGGAUAAUUAGUACAUUAUAAACCUGAAAAAUUAAUUUAUUUGAUUUUCAAAACAACUUCGGUAUUGAAUUUUUUAAAAAAGAAAUACAUCAUUAAUAGUUCGGAAAAACAUGUUCGCGAUAAAUGAGGAAAUUGCUCAUUCCAAUUGAAGAAACGAACACAACCUUAGUAAUAGUAUCAAUCGUUAACUAUGCACCAAGCUGCGAUUGUUUCUCCAUACUCUUCCUCGUUUUUCGUUAGCACAUUUCCUAAACUACUAAGCAGCGUGUUUGAUGUAAAAAUUUCUAUAUAAGUUGUUUUAAAGAAUAAAGUAAAUCAUUUUUUUAAGUUUAUAAAAUUAGUACUCAAUUAAUCAUAUGCUAAUAAUUUGCCUCGUUUUAUGGGCCACUAAAUUUCACCCAAAACCUUCUCCCGAACGCACCUUGGGCCUUUGAGCAACUCAAACUCAUGGUAGAAGAACGCAAUAUGACCUUUGCUUGACAAACGACAGACCUCCUUGGUCUGGCCGGCAAGCUUUGAUGACAGGAGGCAGUAACGUCGAUCGAUCGAAAUGUCGCUGUACAGCGAAAUAAGACUGAUAAUUUGGGAAAGACUGAAAAAAUGGGCAUUGUUGCACCGCUCAUAGAAAAUGUUUCACCGCAACAUAAAAAAAAAUAGAGUAAAGUCUAUCACCGGUCCUUAAACUUGUACCGUUGUGUCAUCGUGGUCCCUAGACUCGCAAAUCGACCGUUCAGGUCCUCAAACUUAUUCAAUUGUGUCAUCUCGGUCCCUAAACUUGCAGAUCACUUGUUUAGGUCCUCCAACUUGUUCAGUUGUGUCACCCCGGUCCCUAAACUUAGAUUUGAAUAUCAUCUGGGCCAAAUAGGACGGUCUAAAGACUUUAUAUGUAAAAAGAAUUCAUAACUUUUUCAUGUGAACUCUAAUAAAGACAAACUUUAUAUCAAACUUGUAGCCCUCGACGCGAUCUACAACUUGGUAGUUGAUUUUUAUAUUCUAAUUCAUUUUUUUGUCCCAAAAUGUAAUUUUAAAAUUAAAAUUUCAAAAUCUAUAAAUAUGCAACAAUAUUUUGGGACCCUAAACAGUUUUAAUUCAAAAACUUAUCAACUACAAAGUUGUAGGUCGCGUCGAGGGCUACAAUUUUGAUAUAAAGUUUGUCUUCAUUAGAUUUCACAUGAAAAAGUUAUGAAUUAUUUUUGAUAUAAAGUUUUUAGACCGUCCUGUUUAGGGACCGGGGUGACACAACUGAACAAGUUGGAGGAUCUAAACGAGUGAUCUGCAAGUUUAGGGACCAGGAUGACACAGUCGAACAAGUUUGAGGACCUGAACGGUCGAUUUGCGAGUUUAGGGACCGGGAUGACACUGCAGUACUAGUUUAGGGACCGGUGAUCGACUUUACUCAAAAAAAUAUAUUUCAAUUAAAAUAAUAAAACAUAGUGGAGUCAAAAAUUGAAACAUUUUGCUUCACACACAUGAAACAUUGGGGUUACAUUGUUGAAACAUCAAACACCAUAAAAAAUACGCCGUCCAACAUUUCAAUCUAACACAAAUAAACAUUAAGACAAAUAGACUGAAAUAUAAAAAAAAAUCACAACAUUAACCGGACAAAACUUGGGUCCUUCCUCUACUCCAAUGGAUACAUUUUCGAUUUCCAGCCGACCACCCACCAACGAUAACAAGUCGGCCAUGGAUAUGUUCCCGCCAAGCAUUAGAAGAAAUCAAGCUAGAGGCUAGCUCCUAUGGAGGGAUGGACUUGAUCCCAUUGGGCAUGGACCGUGGACUAACAUGUACAGGUGCUAAGAGGCUUCGCCGGGGCAGACUGAGCUCGAGUCCCGCCAUGUUCAGAUUCUUGCGAAGCAGACAACGACAGCUCAAGGAGAGGAUAAGAGAAAUCGAGGGUGACGAGGUGGGGUGGGGGGGGGGGGGGAGGGAGGAGGCUCGUAACCCUAUACCCAUGCUUGCACCUCGGGCCCUGGCUAAGAAGUGAAGCUUGAAUCCCACAUUUCCACGCUCCUCUUGGGCUUGGCUUGGCAAUGCUUUUGCACCCACGCGUACAGGCUCUCGAUCACGCCCAGGCAAUAAACACGCCUAUCUCUACACGCCAAAUGCGAACCAACCUAGAUGUAGGCAACCAAACUUGUUCUAAUUGAUUGAACUGGUUUGAGAAACAUGUUGUGCGACGAAAUGGAGCGGGUGGGUUCGGCCUAGUUUCCAAUCCAUUGGCACCUCUAUUUACGUGACACAAUCUGGGCCAUUAAUCUUGGCAGAGUAGUAAUGGCACCAAGCUAGUUUGACAAUAUUUUUAUUCUCCUAAACUUAUGGGGUAUAUCGACUUUUUUUCCUAAAAGUAUUAUACCCGUGUUUAAAUCUAUAACUUUGGACGGAGAUAGUAAUAUAUUUCGAGUCAACACUAGAUUAAGAAAAUAAAUUGAGAUUUAAAAGGAAAAUGCACCAACACAUAUGGGCCGCUAUUGUCCAUGUGGUCCAUGAGGUCCUCUCGAACCCAGCCGACGAACGAGCUUGUGCGCCUUGGCUCCUAACGCCGCCGGCUGGCCGGCCGCCGGCGGCGGCGGCGGAGGAGAAGCCCAGGCUGUUGACGACGGCGCGACGACGGCGCCGGCGCAGAUCCACGUCGGUCAUGUCGCAGACAACCGCACCCAUGUCCCGCCGCCGUCUCUCCUCCAUCCUCGCCAGCACCGCCACCGCCUCCUCCACGGCGGCGUCGACCACCACCGCGGCGACGGCAUCGCCGGCACGCCCAUCCCCUCCCGCCCACGCCGCGUUCCGGGAGCGUCUGCGGUCGGGAACGCUCGGUCCCGACGACGCGCGCCACCUGUUCGACGAAUUGCUGCUUCGCCGCGACGCCCCCGCCCCCGCGCGAGGCCUCAACGAGCUCCUCUCCGCGCUCGCCCGCGCGCCGCCCUCCGCCGCCUGCAGGGACGUCCCAGCCCUCGCCGUCGAGCUGUUCAAACGGAUGGACCGGUGCGCCUGCCCCGAGGCCGCUCCCACCAUCUACACCUACAACAUCCUCAUCAACUGCUACCGCCGCGCGCGCCGCCCCGACCUCGGGCUCCCCGUCUUCGGCCGCUUGCUCAGGACGGGCCUGGGGCCGGAU